GGGGAAUAUUGCACAAUGGGCGAAAGCCUGAUGCAGCAACGCCGCGUGAGCGAUGAAGGCCUUCGGGUCGUAAAGCUCUGUCCUCAAGGAAGAUAAUGACGGUACUUGAGGAGGAAGCCCCGGCUAACUACGUGCCAGCAGCCGCGGUAAUACGUAGGGGGCUAGCGUUAUCCGGAUUUACUGGGCGUAAAGGGUGCGUAGGUGGUUUCUUAAGUCAGGAGUGAAAGGCUACGGCUUAACCGUAGUAAGCUCUUGAAACUGGGAAACUUGAGUGCAGGAGAGGAAAGUGGAAUUCCUAGUGUAGCGGUGAAAUGCGUAGAUAUUAGGAGGAACACCAGUAGCGAAGGCGGCUUUCUGGACUGUAACUGACACUGAGGCACGAAAGCGUGGGGAGCAAAC
rnacentral:rRNA from 1 species